rnacentral:rRNA from 1 species
AACGAACGCUGGCGGCAGGCCUAAAACAUGCAAGUCGAACGCCCCGCAAGGGGAGUGGCGCACGGGUGAGUAACGCGUGGGAACGUGCCCUUCACUACGGGACAACGUCGGGAAACUGACGCUAAUACCGUAUAAUGACUCCGGUCCAAAGAUUUAUCGGUGAAGGAGCGGCCCGCGUCUGAUUAGCUAGUUGGUGAGGUAACGGCUCACCAAGGCUACGAUCAGUAGCAGGUCUGAGAGGAUGAUCUGCCACACUGGGACUGAGACACGGCCCAGACUCCUACGGGAGGCAGCAGUUAGGAAUAUUGGACAAUGGGCGAAAGCCUGAUCCAGCCAUGCCGCGUGUGUGAUGAAGGCCCUAGGGUUGUAAAGCUCUUUCGUUGAGGAAGAUAAUGACUGUACUCAAAGAAGAAGCACCGGCUAACUUCGUGCCAGCCGCCGCAGUAA